UGGAGACGGGGCGAAGAAUCUGGAAAUGUGAACACAUGAGAUUUACUAAAAUUCUAUCUUUGUUGGAAAAGUGAGGAAUACAAGACCAACAUUCAGAGAGGAUAUAUUUGCCUUCGUGGGUAAAACUUUGGUCCUUAAAAGCGCAAUGAAGGACACAAGGAGAUAUGUCAAAAUAGAGUGUCCUGAUGUUUUUUCUUUCUGAAUUUGCCCAUGUUACAUUCAUGUGAUGUAUCAUUGAACCUCAAAGAGUAUUUGACCUGAAAAAACAUCUUGGUGUAUGUAUUGUCAAAUGGCAGUCCAAUUCUAGAACUUGCCAUUGAUUUUUUUC